CGAAGAACCUUACCAGGCCUUGACAUGCAGAGAACUUUCCAGAGAUGGAUUGGUGGCCUUCGGGAACGUCUGACACAGGUGCUGCAUGGCUGUCGUCAGCUCGUGUCGUGAGAUGUUGGGUUAAGUCCGUAACGAGCGCAACCCUUGUCCUUAGUUACCAGCACGUUAUGGUGGGCACUCUAAGGAGACUGCCGGUGACAAACCGGAGGAAGGUGGGGAGUGACGUCAAGUCAUCAUGGCCCUUACGGCCUGGGCUACACACGUGCUACAAUGGUCGGUACAAAGGGUUGCCAAGCCGCGAGGUGGAGCUAAUCCCAUAAAACCGAUCGUAGUCCGGAUCGCAGUCUGCAACUCGACUGCGUGAAGUCGGAAUCGCUAGUAAUCGUGAAUCAGAAUGUCACGGUGAAUACGUUCCCGGGCCUU
rnacentral:rRNA from 1 species